UACGUAGGGGGCAAGCGUUGUCCGGAAUCAUUGGGCGUAAAGCGCGUGUAGGCGGCCCCGGUAAGUCCGCUGUGAAAGUCCAGGGCUCAACCCUGGAAUGCCGGUGGAUACUGUCGGGCUCGAGUCCGGAAGAGGCGAGUGGAAUUCCUGGUGUAGCGGUGAAAUGCGCAGAUAUCGGGAGGAACACCAAUGGCGAAGGCAGCUCGCUGGGACGGUACUGACGCUGAGGCGCGAAAGCGUGGGGAGCGAACAGG
rnacentral:rRNA from 1 species